CUAUUUUAUAACGUUUGCAACAGUAUUAAGCUGUAUUCUUGUGAUAUCUGGAGAAACAAGAACGAUGAAACUUUACGUUGUGGCUUUGCUGCUGGUACUUGUGCUUGUGACUGAAUCUACACCACCAGAUUCAUUCGGAACGGCCAAAAGAAGACAUGUUAGCAGCAUCUCGGGUCCUCGUAGUCCACAGGUGAAUGUACAGUCCCAGUACAGGAAUAAUAGGUCGCCGCAUGGACGUAAAGACUUGCCGAUUGCAUUUUGAAGGAAUAGCAAUGAGAAUGUUAAUUAGCAGAGAGGAUCAAACAACUCAAUAAAGUGAUAACAUAGUU